rnacentral:rRNA from 1 species
ACCCGCUGAACUUAAGCAUAUCAAUAAGCGGAGGAAAAGAAACCAACAGGGAUUGCCUCAGUAACGGCGAGUGAAGCGGCAACAGCUCAAAUUUGAAAUCUGGCCUUCCGGUCCGAGUUGUAAUUUGCAGAGGAUGCUUCGGGCGCGGUGCCUUCCAAGUCCCCUGGAACGGGGCGCCGGAGAGGGUGAGAGCCCCGUACGGUUGGCGGCCAAGCCUGUGUGAAGCUCCUUCGACGAGUCGAGUAGUUUGGGAAUGCUGCUCUAAGCGGGAGGUAGACCCCUUCUAAAGCUAAAUACCGGCCAGAGACCGAUAGCGCACAAGUAGAGUGAUCGAAAGAUGAAAAGCACUUUGAAAAGAGGGUUAAACAGCACGUGAAAUUGUUGAAAGGGAAGCGCUUGCGACCAGACGUGCGCCGGGGUGCUCAGCGGGCGUUCUCGCCCGUGCACUCGCCCCGGCGCAGGCCAGCGUCGGUUUGGGCGGGGGGAUAAAGGCGUCUGGAAUGUGGCUCCCCCGGGAGUGUUAUAGCCAGGCGUGCCAUGCCUCCGCCCGGACCGAGGUACGCGUUCUGCAAGGACGCUGGCGUAAUGGUCCCCAGCGACCCGUCUUGAAACACGGACCAAGGAGUCGAGGUUUUGCGCGAGUGUUUGGGUGGAAAACCCGCACGCGUAAUGAAAGUGAACGUAGGUGAGAGCUUCGGCGCAUCACCGACCGAUCCUGAUGUUUUCGGAUGGAUUUGAGUAAGAGCGUAGGGCCUCGGACCCGAAAGAUGGUGAACUAUGCUUGGAUAGGGUGAAGCCAGAGGAAACUCUGGUGGAGGCUCGCAGCGGUUCUGACGUGCAAAUCGAUCGUCAAA